rnacentral:tRNA from 1 species
GGGCCUGUAGCACAACCUGGAUAAUGCGGUCGGCUUCGGACCGAUUGAUCGGGGUUCAAAUCCUCGCAGGCUCA